rnacentral:rRNA from 1 species
UAGGGAAUCUUCGGCAAUGGACGAAAGUCUGACCGAGCAACGCCGCGUGAGUGAAGAAGGUUUUCGGAUCGUAAAACUCUGUUGUUAGAGAAGAACAAGGACGUUAGUAACUGAACGUCCCCUGACGGUAUCUAACCAGAAAGCCACGGCUAACUACGUGCCAGCAGCCGCGGUAAUACGUAGGUGGCAAGCGUUGUCCGGAUUUAUUGGGCGUAAAGCGAGCGCAGGCGGUUUCUUAAGUCUGAUGUGAAAGCCCCCGGCUCAACCGGGGAGGGUCAUGGGAAACAGGGAGACUUGAGUGCAGAAGAGGAGAGUGGAAUUCCAUGUGUAGCGGUGAAAUGCGUAGAUAUAUGGAGGAACACCAGUGGCGAAGGCGGCUCUCUGGUCUGUAACUGACGCUGAGGCUCGAAAGCGUGGGGAGCAAACAGG